AGAAGCAGCCACCAUUUAAAGAGUGCGUAAUAGCUCACUGGUCGAGAGACGCUGCGCCGAAAAUGUCCGGGGCUCAAGCACGGAACCGAAGCUAUGGCAUGAUAGCAAUAUCAUGGGUAGGGGAGCGUUCUUAUAAGGAAGAAGCAUGACCGGAAGGACAUGUGGACGAAUAAGAAGUGAGAAUGCCGGUAUGAGUAUCGAAAAGAAAGGUGAGAAUCCUUUCCACCGAAAGCCCGAGGGUUCCUGAGCAACGAUCGUCGACUCAGGGUAAGUCGGGACCUAAGCCGAGGCGAGAAGCGUAGGCGAUGGACAACAGGUUGAAAUUCCUGUACCGGAUCAAGUCGAUCGAGCGAAGGAGCGACGCAGGAGGGCACAUGAUCGCGCGGCUGGAAGAGCGCGUCCAAGUGCGUAUGUUGCAGCAGAGGAAAACCCCUGCAGCUAAAAGCAGAGACAUGAUGGGGAGUUAAAGGAAACUUUGACGAACUCAUGAAUCCCACACUGCCAAGAAAAACUUCUAGCGAGACAAGAUCCGCCCGUACCGUAAACCGACACAGGUAGGCGGGGAGAGAAUCCUAAGGUGCGCGGGAAAACCCUCGUUAAGGAACUCGGCAAAUUGCAUCCGUAACCUAGGGAGAAGGAUGGCCCCCGGUCAGUGAAGAGCAGAAACGCUCAGAGCUAAAAGGGGCGGCAGAAAAGAGGCCCAAGCAACUGUUUACCAAAAACACAGGUGCCUGCGAAAGCGAAAGCUGAAGUAUAGGUGCUGACGCCUGCCCGGUGCCGGAAGGUUAAGGAGAGAAGUUAGCGAAAGCGAAGCAUCGAACUGAAGCCCCGGUGAACGGCGGCCGUAACUAUAACGGUCCUAAGGUAGCGAAAUUCCUUGUCGGGUAAGUUCCGACCCGCAUGAAAGGCGUAAUGAUUUGGGCACUGUCUCAACGAGGGGCCCGGUGAAAUUGAAAUACCUGUGAAGAUGCAGGUUACCCGCGACUGGACAGAAAGACCCCAUGGAGCUUCACUGCAGCUUGAGAUUGAAUCCCGGUGACAGAUGCACAGGAUAGGUGGGAGGCGUCGAAGCAUUGCCCUAGGGCGGUGCGGAGCCGAUGUUGGGAUACCACCCUUCUGUUGCUGAGAUUCUAACGCGAGGAGUAACGACCCUGCGGACCCUCUCAGGCAGGCGGUUUGACUGGGGCGGUCGCCUCCGAAAGAGUAACGGAGGCGCCCAAAGGUUCCCUCAGGCCGGACAGAAACCGGCCGAAGAGUGCAAAGGCAGAAGGGAGCUUGACUGCGAGACCAACAAGUCGAGCAGGGACGAAAGUCGGGCUUAGUGAUCCGGUGGUACUGGGUGGAAAGGCCAUCGCUCAACGGAUAAAAGCUACCCUGGGGAUAACAGGCUAAUCUCUCCCAAGAGUUCAUAUCGACGGGGAGGUUUGGCACCUCGAUGUCGGCUCAUCACAUCCUGGGGCUGGAGUAGGUCCCAAGGGUUGGGCUGUUCGCCCAUUAAAGUGGUACGCGAGCUGGGUUCA
rnacentral:rRNA from 1 species